GACGAACGCUGGCGGCGUGCCUAAUACAUUCAAGUCGAGCGGCAGCUGGACCUUCGGGUUGCCGGCGAGCGGCUGACGGGUGAGUAAUGCCUAGGAAUCUGCCUGUUAGUGGGGGAUAACUCGGGGAAACUCGCGCUAAUACCACAUACGUCCUACGGGAGAAAGCGGGGGCUCUUCGGACCGCGCGCUAACAGAUGAGCCUAGGUCGGAUUAGCUAGUUGGUGGGGUAAUGGCCCACCAAGGUGACGACCCGUAACUGGUCUGAGAGGAUGAUCAGUCACACUGGAACUGAGGCACGGUCCAGACUCCUACGGGAGGCAGCAGUGGGGAAUAUUGGACAAUGGGGGAAAGCCUGAUCCAGCCAUGCCGCGUGUGUGAAGAAGGUCUUCGGAUUGUAAAGCACUUUAAGUCGGGAGGAAGGGCUAUAGGCUAAUACCUUGCAGUUUUGACGUUACCGACAGGAUAAGCCCCGGCUAACUUCGUGCCAGCCGCCGCAGUAAGAC
rnacentral:rRNA from 1 species